rnacentral:rRNA from 1 species
UUGCGUAGGUGGUUUGUUAAGUAGGUAGUGAAAUCUGGCGGCUCAACCGUACAGGCUAUUACCUAAACUGGCAAACUCGAGAAUGGUAGAGGUAACUGGAAUUUCUUGUGUAGGAGUGAAAUCCGUAGAUAUAAGAAGGAACACCAAUGGCGUAGGCAGGUUACUGGACCAUUUCUGACACUGAGGCACGAAAGCGUGGGGAGCGAACG